AACGAACGCUGGCGGCAGGCCUAACACAUGCAAGUCGAGCGAGGACUUCGGUCCUAGCGGCGGACGGGUGAGUAACGCGUGGGAACGUGCCCUUUGCUUCGGAAUAGCUCUGGGAAACUGGGAGUAAUACCGGAUGAGCCCUUUGGGGGAAAGAUUUAUCGGCGAAGGAUCGGCCCGCGUUGGAUUAGGUAGUUGGUGGGGUAAUGGCCUACCAAGCCGACGAUCCAUAGCUGGUUUGAGAGGAUGAUCAGCCACACUGGGACUGAGACACGGCCCAGACUCCUACGGGAGGCAGCAGUGGGGAAUCUUAGACAAUGGGGGAAACCCUGAUCGAGCCAUGCCGCGUGAGCGAUGAAGGCCUUAGGGUUGUAAAGCUCUUUCAGCUGGGAAGAUAAUGACGGUACCAGCAGAAGAAGCCCCGGCUAACUCCGUG
rnacentral:rRNA from 1 species